AUUGAACGCUGGCGGCAGGCCUAACACAUGCAAGUCGAGCGGAGCGGCGGACGGGUGAGUAAUGCCUAGGCAUCUGCCUGGUAGUGGGGGAUAACGUCCGGAAACGGGCGCUAAUACAGCAUACUCUCAGAUGAGACUAGGUCGGAUUAGCUAGUUGGUGGGGUAAAGGCAUACCAAGGCGACGAUCCGUAACUGGUCUGAGAGUAUGAUCAGUCACACUGGAACGGAUACACGGUCCAGACUCCUACGGUAGGCAGAAGUGGGGAAUAUUGGAAAAUGGGCGAAAGCCUGAUCCAGCCAGGCCGCGUGUGUGAAGAAGGUCUUCGGAUUGGAAAGCACUUUAAUUUGGGAUGCGUUACCAACAGAAUAAGCACCGGCUAACUUCGUGCCAGCAGCCGCGGUAAUUC
rnacentral:rRNA from 1 species